rnacentral:rRNA from 1 species
AAUGGGGGCAACCUUGAUCCAGCAAUGCCGCGUGUGUGAUGAAGGCCUUAGGGUUGUAAAGCACUUUCACUGGUGAAGAUGAUGACGGUAACCAGAGAAGAAGCCCCGGCUAACUUCGUGCCAGCAGCCGCGGUAAUACGAAGGGGGCGAGCGUUGUUCGGAAUUACUGGGCGUAAAGGGCGCGUAGGCGGUCUUUUAAGUUAGGCGUGAAAGCCCCGGGCUCAACCCGGGAACUGCGCUUAAGACUGGAAGACUAGAAAACGGAAGAGGGUAGUGGAAUUCCCAGUGUAGAGGUGAAAUUCAUAGAUAUUGGGAAGAACACCAGUGGCGAAAGCGGCUACCUGGUCCGAUUUUGACGCUGAGGCGCGAAAGCGUGGGGAGCAAACAGGAUU